AGAGUUUGAUCAUGGCUCAGAGUGAACGCUGGCGGCAGGCCUAACACAUGCAAGUCGAACGGCAGCACAGUAAGAGCUUGCUCUUAUGGGUGGCGAGUGGCGGACGGGUGAGGAAUACAUCGGAAUCUACUCUUUCGUGGGGGAUAACGUAGGGAAACUUACGCUAAUACCGCAUACGACCUACGGGUGAAAGCGGAGGACCUUCGGGCUUCGCGCGAUUGAAUGAGCCGAUGUCGGAUUAGCUAGUUGGCGGGGUAAAGGCCCACCAAGGCGACGAUCCGUAGCUGGUCUGAGAGGAUGAUCAGCCACACUGGAACUGAGACACGGUCCAGACUCCUACGGGAGGCAGCAGUGGGGAAUAUUGGACAAUGGGCGCAAGCCUGAUCCAGCCAUGCCGCGUGGGUGAAGAAGGCCUUCGGGUUGUAAAGCCCUUUUGUUGGGAAAGAAAAGCAUUCGGUUAAUACCCGAUUGUUCUGACGGUACCCAAAGAAUAAGCACCGGCUAACUUCGUGCUAGCAGCCGCGGUAAUACGAAGGGUGCAAGCGUUACUCGGAAUUACUGGGCGUAAAGCGUGCGUAGGUGGUGGUUUAAGUCUGU
rnacentral:rRNA from 1 species